GGGAAUUGUUCAAUCUUGUUCUUCUUCGACAUGUCUCCUCAUUUCCAAUUCAACUGAGCACCGCGUCGGAGUAGCUUGCUUUGGACGCUGAACAAAAUCUUCAAUUUCAUCGCCACUGAAGGUGCAUCACACUUUUGUAACUGCAGGGUCGGAUGGUGCUUUUAAUAUCUGGGACGAGGAUAGCUGUGAGAUCCCACGUCGGUUGGGGAGGAGAACGAAACAUUAUUUAUAAGGGUACGGAAACCUCUCCCUAACAUACUCAUUUUAAAAUCCUCGAGGGAAAGUCCGAAAGGCAAAGUCCAAAGAGUAUAAUGUCUGCUUGCUAAAGAUGAGUUUGAACGGUUACAAUAGCAAACACAAACAAAGGCCGAAGGUUCCUUCAAAUACUUAUUGGAUUUUUAACUUCUUAAGAUUUAUAAAAUAGUUUGGAGAGUUGCAUGGGAACUAUGUUUACAUUCUGAUACAUAAAACUUGUUUGGUGGAAUGAUGCUCCAAAGUAAGUUCCCCAUAAGUUAUUUGCUCAAUUUAAUUUUUAAAUAGAUUGCCUUCAUUUCCUGUUAGCUUUAUGACCAGAGAUCAGUAUGUUUUAUGACAAGAUUAAAUUGAGCUAAAAACUGAUGAGAAACUCUCUUUUGAA